UAGUUAUAUGCUUGUCUCAAAGAUUAAGCCAUGCACGUGUAAGUACACGCCUUUAUACAGCGAAACUGCGAAUGGCUCAUUAAAUCAUAUGUGAUUUCUUAGAUCGUACUGUCCGUAAUGGACUAAGGAUAACUGUGGUAAUUCUAGAGCUAAUACAUGCACUCAGUUCUGACCCUAGGGGAAGAACGCUCAUAUUAGACCAAGACCUACCGUUGGGGCAACCCUUCGUAGUCUAGGUGACUCUGGAUAUUAAUCAGUCAAUCGAAUGGCCUCGUGCUGUCGAUGUAUCUUUCAAGCGUAUGCCCUAUCACCUGUCGACGUUAGGUUAACAGCCUAUCGUGGGGGUAACGGGUAGCGGGGAAUCAGGGUUCGAUUCCGGAGAGGGCGCAUGAGAAAUGGCGACCACAUCCAAGGAAGGCAGCAGGCGCGCAAAUUACCCAAUGCCGACACGGCGAGGUAGUGACGAAAAAUAACAAUACGGGACUCUUUUGAGGCCCCGUAAUUGGAAUGAGCACUAAUCUAAAUCCUUUAGCGAGGAUCUAUU
rnacentral:rRNA from 1 species